rnacentral:sRNA from 1 species
UGUAAUUGUAGUUGUACAACAUCCAAGACGAGAUAACUUCUUUCACACCAGCCGUGGUAUAAAUGGCUUUUAUGCUUUGCUUCUUCACUCAGGCUCCCCUAAUCACCCAGCUCUUUCGGCCCGGGUACCUCCACCUCCACCAUUCCAGCGUUCUAUAUUUUUUCUAAUUUCUAUCAUCUUGUAUUCUGCUUUUCUACCGUAAAACCAUGGGCGAUCAACGUGGGAGAUCUUGACACCCGAGUGUUCAAUCCACCCUCAAUCCCCGCCUCGUCGCCUGGCCGCUGCUUCUCGGCUUCCCUGGCACGACGUCGUUUGGCAAUAGGGUUGAGAAUGAAGUAGAGGGCGACUAUGAUGCCAUCGAGCACGACAACAAGAGCAUACGACACCUAUGUAAAACAUAUUAGUGAAUCGAUGGCAGGAUGAAGGAGAGGCAGAUGGAGGAAGACUUACAAAACCAGCGAUAUCAAGAUCUUUCCGGAAAAGCAGACUCAGAAAAGAAAAAACCCCUCCCAGUAUAUCGAUAGCCAUGAAUAGUAUCGAAAUGCCAAUGACUUCACGAUACUUGUAAAUCUCCCAAUAUUGUGGCCUUAUAACUAUUCGUCAGCAGGAUCCCGACGGGCAACAUAUUUUAACUGAACUCACAACAGCCCAAGGGCCAAAAGGACAGCAGAGAGAUAUCCAUACAUCAAGGUUGGCCACUCCACUCCGUUUCGGUGCCCUGCCUAAAAUACCAACCCAAAAUGUCAGCAAUUCAAUUAAACGAGCGGAUUGAUCGGUAAACCUCACCCAGAGUGCAUACACACUACCGACCUCGAACCCCGCGAAAAUACCACAAAGGACGAUGAAUAUUGCCCACACGGAUUUG